rnacentral:rRNA from 1 species
GAUGAACGCUGGCGGCGUGCCUAACACAUGCAAGUCGAGCGAAGCGUUUAAAUUAGAUUUCUUCGGAAUGACGAUUUUUGUGACUGAGCGGCGGACGGGUGAGUAACGCGUGGGUAACCUGCCUCAUACAGGGGGAUAACAGUUAGAAAUGACUGCUAAUACCGCAUAAGACCCCAGCUUCGCAUGAAGCGGUGGUAAAAACUCCGGUGGUAUGAGAUGGACCCGCGUCUGAUUAGCUAGUUGGUAAGGUAACGGCUUACCAAGGCGACGAUCAGUAGCCGACCUGAGAGGGUGACCGGCCACAUUGGGACUGAGACACGGCCCAGACUCCUACGGGAGGCAGCAGUGGGGAAUAUUGCACAAUGGGGGAAACCCUGAUGCAGCGACGCCGCGUGAAGGAUGAAGUAUUUCGGUAUGUAAACUUCUAUCAGCAGGGAAGAAAGUGACGGUACCUGACUAAGAAGCCCCGGCUAACUACGUG